GCGCCACUAGUGUAGUGGUAACAUAGGAGAUUCCCAUUCUCCUGCCCCGGGUUCGAUUCCCGGGUGGCGCA